AACGAACGCUGGCGGCGCGCCUAACACAUGCAAGUCGGAACGAGAAUCCGGGGCAACCCGGUAGUAAAGUGGCAAACGGGUGAGGGAAUACAUGGGGUAACCUACCCUUGAGAAGGGAAUAACCCGCCGAAAGGUGAGCUAAUACCCUAUACGCUAUCUUUUUUUCGAAAGGAUAGGAAAGCCGGGUCGAGGACCUGGUACUCAAGGAGGGGCUCAUGUCCUAUCAGCUUGUUGGUGGGGUAACGGCCUACCAAGGCUACGACGGGUAGCUGGUCUGAGAGGAUGAUCGAGCCACACUGGGCACCUGAGAUACGGGCCAGACUCCUACGGGAGGCAGCAGUGAGGAAUAUUGCGCAAUGGGCGAAAGCCUGACGCAGCGACGCCGC
rnacentral:rRNA from 1 species